rnacentral:rRNA from 1 species
UACGAAGGGUGCACGCGUUACUCGGAAUUACUGGGCGUAAAGCGUGCGUAGGUGGUUUGUUAAGUCUGAUGUGAAAGCCCUGGGCUCAACCUGGGAACUGCAUUGGAAACUGGCUUACUAGAGUGCGGUAGAGGGGUGUGGAAUUCCCGGUGUAGCAGUGAAAUGCGUAGAUAUCGGGAGGAACAUCUGUGGCGAAGGCGACACCCUGGACCAGCACUGACACUGAGGCACGAAAGCGUGGGGAGCAAACAGG